AAAGUCGUAACAAGGUUUCCGUAGGUGAACCUGCGGAAGGAUCAUUAACACUCUUCUAUACUCCUAGCGAGAAUAGUUGAUACACACAUCCGUGCUCCUUUCUUUUUUUCACACCUUUAACCAAACACUUUUAAUUUUUUAUUUUUUAGGCUGGACUUAACGGUCGGUCUAUUUUGUUAAUCAUGGGUAGACAUGCAUUUGUUGCAUGUGUACUCCUGUACUUACACAACUCUUAACAAUGGAUAUCUCGGCUCUC
rnacentral:misc_RNA from 1 species